AUUCGUACUGCCAAGAGAGGGAGAAGAAUAUGUUUGUUCCUACUGGGGAUGAGAAAGGAGGUCUUAGUCCCAGAGGGAGGAAUGCUGCCACCAAGAGACACAACAACGAUUCCAUUAAACUGGAAGUUAAGAUUGCCACCUGGACACUUCGUGCUCCUCCUACCUUCAAGUCAACAGGCUAAGAAAGGAGUUACAGUGUUGGCUGUGGUGAUUGACUUGGACUAUCAAGAUGAAAUCAGUCUACUACUGCACAACAGAGACAAAACCACAGUCAACAUGAAUUCCAAGUGGUAACACUUAGUGUCCUGGGAUGGAGUGCUGAGAGAAAUCCGGAGGAUUCAGAGAAGAUGACCAAAAAGGACUACUUCACAGGGCUCCCAUGUGCUCAGCUUGCAAUUGGAUUCAGCCACCAGAGAUCCCUGGCAAGAGAAUAAAGCCAUAACUACAACUUUGAUUGGACAAGAAACCGAUUUCAUUAACUUUCUCCAGUUAAGAAGACUACUGACAGAAGAUGGCCAAAUAGGAACAGCUCCAAUCUGCAGCUCCCAGCGUGAUUGAUGCAGAAGAGAGGUGAUUUCUGCAUUUCCACCUGAGGUACCAGGUUCAUCACAUUGGGACUGGUUGGACAGUGGGUGAAGCCCAUGGAGGGUGAGCCAAAGCAGGGCGGGGCAUUGCCUCACCCAGGAAGCACAAGGGAUCUGGGGAUUUCCCUUUCCUAGCCAAGGGAAGCCGUGACAGACUACCUGGAA
rnacentral:lncRNA from 10 species